AUGACACAGAUUCACAUCAAGAUAAAGAUGAUGUGCAAAGAAAACCCAUGCCCCCAAAGAGAUUACAGCCACUCCUCCAGACAGAUCCAGCAGGAAUAACCACAAAAGUCACCUUGGGGCCACUUAAUAGAACAGGUGGCUGCCGCCUGGUGACAAUGGCCGUAUGAGCCCCACCAUGGCCCACUGGAAGCGUCAGAGCACAGUGAGCAGCCUGCUGGACCACAGGGUGAGACCGGGCCUGGAGCCCAAGAGCAAGGACGUGGAGGAACUAGCCCUGGAAGAGUACAUGCCCACUGGACUGGAGCUAGUGGCCCUGUGGCCUGAGAGGCCGUUGCCUGCCCAGAAGGGCGGCCCUGAUGGGUACUUUGGCUCCAACUAGAGUAAACAACACCUCGGAGGAGGAGGACUAUGACGAGGGCUGCCUGAAGAGGAGGGCAUCACCUAUUACAUCCGCUACUGCCCCAAGGACAACAGCUACCUGCAGGGGAUGGACUGCAACAGGCAGGGCUACUUGGCCCACCUAGAGAUGCCAUCUGGAGAUGGAUGAGUGCCAGGAGGUGGUGGAGGAGUGGACAGAGCCAGGGCCAGCGACUCCCCAGAGGUCUGCCCACUUGCCAAGUCUGGCCGUGGCCCCAGCAGACACAAGGGCAGGCCCAAGUUGCUGAACCUCCCUCGAGGCCAAGCACCCUGCCGAUGCCCAGAGGAGCUUCAAGACCAGGACCCAGGAAGAGAGGCCUAAGUGGCCCCAAGAGGAGGACACUGGGCUGCACUCUGAGAAGUUCCUGGAUCUCCCCUGGACCUGACCAUCAUGUGGCCAGAGAAAUUGCCCAGCUCUCCUGUUUUCUCAGCACUUCAGCAGGACAAGAAAGACAGAGCCUGCCAGAACCAAGGCCUGUGCCUGUUUUAUUCUUUACCACCGUGAGGUUCACCUUCCCUGGGGCUCCUGGAGACUCCUCCCGUGGCUACCUGUCGACCGUCCCUCCUCAGCAGAGACCAGACCUGCCCCUCGUCUCCCAGCCCUGCGCCUGGUGUGUGUUUUGUCAACACUUCAGUGGAACAAGAAAGGACCAAGCCUGCAAGAACCAAGACUCAUCCCAACCUCGGGCACUGCUUCCUGCUGAAACGCCUAGGAGGCUGCACUCUCAAAAAAGAGAGUUCAGCUAGAGACCCCAGCACCAGGGGACCUGGAGGCCAGGUGACUUUUCAAAAGUUCUUGUGGUCAGAGGCUCAGGCUACCAUUCUUUUGAUGCACUAA
ensembl:lncRNA